GUAGGGAAUAUUGGGCAAUGGAUGCAAGUCUGACCCAGCCAUCCCGCGUGCCGGAAGAAGGCCCUCAGGGUUGUAAACGGCUUUUGACGGUGAAGAAUCGACAGGAUGCGUCCUGUUUUGACGGUAGCCGUUGAAUAAGCACCGGCUAACUCCGUGCCAGCAGCCGCGGUAAUACGGAGGGUGCGAGCGUUGUCCGGAUUUAUUGGGUUUACAGGGUGCGUAGGCUGGAAGGUCAGUCAGCGGUGAAAAGCUGUCGCUUAACGAUAGUCUUGCCGCAGAUACUUCCUUUCUUGGAUGAGGAGGAGGCCACUGGAACGGAUGGUGUAGCGGUGAAAUGCAUAGAUAUCAUCCAGAACACCGAUUGCGAAGGCAGGUGGCUGUACCUUAAUCGACGCUGAUGCACGAAAGCAUGGGGAGCAAACAGGAUUAGAAACCCCUGUAGUCC
rnacentral:rRNA from 1 species